rnacentral:rRNA from 1 species
UCCAAUCUGACACUACUCCGGGGGGCGCCUUCCAGCAGUCGAACGGAUAACGCGGGGCACCUGGCGACGAGUGGCGAACGGGUGAGUAAUGCAUCGGAACGUGCCCAGUAGUGGGGGAUAGCCCGGCGAAAGCCGGAUUAAUACCGCAUACGACCUAAGGGUGAAAGCGGGGGAUCGCAAGACCUCGCGCUAUUGGAGCGGCCGAUGUCAGAUUAGGUAGUUGGUGGGGUAAAGGCCUACCAAGCCUACGAUCUGUAGCUGGUCUGAGAGGACGACCAGCCACACUGGGACUGAGACACGGCCCAGACUCCUACGGGAGGCAGCAGUGGGGAAUUUUGGACAAUGGGCGCAAGCCUGAUCCAGCCAUGCCGCGUGCGGGAAGAAGGCCUUCGGGCUGUAAACCGCUUUUGUCAGGGAAGAAAUCCUCUGGGUUAAUACCUCGGGGGGAUGACGGUACCUGAAGAAUAAGCACCGGCUAAC